rnacentral:rRNA from 1 species
AAAUUGAAGAGUUUGAUCAUGGCUCAGAUUGAACGCUGGCGGCAGGCCUAACACAUGCAAGUCGAGCGGUAGCACAGGAGAGCUUGCUCUCCGGGUGACGAGCGGCGGACGGGUGAGUAAUGUCUGGGAAACUGCCUGAUGGAGGGGGAUAACUACUGGAAACGGUAGCUAAUACCGCAUAACGUCUACGGACCAAAGUGGGGGACCUUCGGGCCUCACGCCAUCAGAUGUGCCCAGAUGGGAUUAGCUAGUAGGUGGGGUAAUGGCUCACCUAGGCGACGAUCCCUAGCUGGUCUGAGAGGAUGACCAGCCACACUGGAACUGAGACACGGUCCAGACUCCUACGGGAGGCAGCAGUGGGGAAUAUUGCACAAUGGGCGCAAGCCUGAUGCAGCCAUGCCGCGUGUGUGAAGAAGGCCUUAGGGUUGUAAAGCACUUUCAGCGAGGAGGAAGGGCAGUGUGUUAAUAGCACAUUGCAUUGACGUUACUCGCAGAAGAAGCACCGGCUAACUCCGUGCCAGCAGCCGCGGUAAUACGGAGGGUGCAAGCGUUAAUCGGAAUUACUGGGCGUAAAGCGCACGCAGGCGGUUUGUUAAGUCAGAUGUGAAAUCCCCGCGCUUAACGUGGGAACUGCAUUUGAAACUGGCAAGCUAGAGUCUUGUAGAGGGGGGUAGAAUUCCAGGUGUAGCGGUGAAAUGCGUAGAGAUCUGGAGGAAUACCGGUGGCGAAGGCGGCCCCCUGGACAAAGACUGACGCUCAGGUGCGAAAGCGUGGGGAGCAAACAGGAUUAGAUACCCUGGUAGUCCACGCUGUAAACGAUGUCGAUUUGGAGGUUGUGCCCUUGAGGCGUGGCUUCCGGAGCUAACGCGUUAAAUCGACCGCCUGGGGAGUACGGCCGCAAGGUUAAAACUCAAAUGAAUUGACGGGGGCCCGCACAAGCGGUGGAGCAUGUGGUUUAAUUCGAUGCAACGCGAAGAACCUUACCUACUCUUGACAUCCAGAGAAUUCGCUAGAGAUAGCUUAGUGCCUUCGGGAACUCUGAGACAGGUGCUGCAUGGCUGUCGUCAGCUCGUGUUGUGAAAUGUUGGGUUAAGUCCCGCAACGAGCGCAACCCUUAUCCUUUGUUGCCAGCGAUUCGGUCGGGAACUCAAAGGAGACUGCCGGUGAUAAACCGGAGGAAGGUGGGGAUGACGUCAAGUCAUCAUGGCCCUUACGAGUAGGGCUACACACGUGCUACAAUGGCGUAUACAAAGAGAAGCGAACUCGCGAGAGCAAGCGGACCUCAUAAAGUACGUCGUAGUCCGGAUUGGAGUCUGCAACUCGACUCCAUGAAGUCGGAAUCGCUAGUAAUCGUAGAUCAGAAUGCUACGGUGAAUACGUUCCCGGGCCUUGUACACACCGCCCGUCACACCAUGGGAGUGGGUUGCAAAAGAAGUAGGUAGCUUAACCUUCGGGAGGGCGCUUACCACUUUGUGAUUCAUGACUGGGGUGAAGUCGUAACAAGGUAACCGUAGGGGAACCUGCGGUUGGAUCACCUCCUUACCU